UUAAGGGUGCAGGGCGGAUGCCUUGGCACUAGGAGCCGAUGAAGGACGUGAUAAGCUGCGAUAAGCUUCGGGGAGUUGCACGUAAACUUUGAUCCGAAGAUUUCCGAAUGAGGAAACUCACUUAGAGUAAUGUCUAAGUAUCAUUAAGUGAAUACAUAGCUUAAUGAGGGGAACUCAGGGAACUGAAACAUCUAAGUACCUGAAGGAAGAGAAAGAAAUUCGAUUCCGUAAGUAGCGGCGAGCGAACGCGGAUUAGCCCAAACCAAUAAAGUUUUCUUUAUUGGGGUUG
rnacentral:rRNA from 1 species